CGGGGAGUGGCGCAGCCUGGUAGCGCACCGCGUUUGGGACGCGGGGGUCGCAGGUUCAAAUCCUGUCUCCCCGACCA
rnacentral:tRNA from 1 species